AAAUGUCGCCAAGCUUUAACCUUUGAGCAGCAUCUGUGUUGCCUUUAAUCGUUUCUACAGAUGCUAAUGAUACCAGAUACCAGAUACUCAUGUUCCGUCUGGAUAAGCAAAUGGCGUCCGGUGGACUACAAUUACCCGCACUAUUCGAAGCAGCUGGCCAAAUGCUUUUUUCCCUCGAACAAGUUACAGAUUGCAUCUUUAUCUUGGCCCGUACUCUCGUACAUAUUCUAUAAGGCAAUAAAAGUUUCUGUGCAAUAAA